rnacentral:rRNA from 1 species
UCGCGCUAACAGAUGAGCCUGCGUUGGAUUAGCUAGUUGGUAGGGUAAAGGCCUACCAAGGCGACGAUCCAUAGCUGGUCUGAGAGGACGAUCAGCCACACUGGGACUGAGACACGGCCCAGACUCCUACGGGAGGCAGCAGUGGGGAAUAUUGGACAAUGGGCGCAAGCCUGAUCCAGCAAUACCGCGUGUGUGAAGAAGGCCUGAGGGUUGUAAAGCACUUUUAAUCGGGAGGAACACCUAUCCGCUAAUACCGGGUAGUUUGACAUUACCGAUAGAAAAAGCACCGGCUAACUCC